AUUUUACUUGUUUUUCUUUUCUUUUUUUUUUUAGGAAAGAUUAGCUCUGAGCUAACACCUGCUGCCAAUUCUCCUCUUUUGUGCUGAGGAAGACUGGCCCUGAACUGACAUCUGUGCCCAUCUUCCUCUACUUUUUACGUGGGAUGCCUGCCACAGCAGGCUUGCCAAGCGGUCCAUAGGUCUGCACCCGGGAUCCAAACUGGCGAACCCAAACCCCAGGCCUACAAAGCAGAACAUCCGAACUUAACCUCUGUGCCACUGGGCCAGCCUUAGGACAGCUUUUAAACAAAUAAACCCACAAAGAAAUGUAAAACUCCAACUGUGAAGGGGGCUGGGAAAGACGGGGAGUUUCAGGGAUCCUUCUCCCAGGAAAUGACAACUAUGGGAGAUAAAGGUUCUGAUGACAUCCUGAGUUAAAAGAGCCCUUUCAAGCAUUAUGCCGGAAAAGUUUCUGAUAGGAUGGACCAACAGCUGGAGUCACCAUUCCAGGGCCAAGAUGGGGGUGGACAAGGUGAACGGUGAGCCUUUUGGAACAAUCCUGAACCACGCAUGUUUCAUCACUUUUAGAUAUAUUUCGGCCUCCCAAGACUUUACGAGGAUGGAAAGCCGUUGGCCUGAACCGGCCCAGUAAAUUAGCUCUGGGAAGAGACUGAUUCACAUUUGCUGCAGAGUAGCAAGCCAGCGCUGUGACUCCAGAAAGGUGAGAAGACUGAGUCCUUGGGAGGUACAGGACUUGCUAAUCCAGGGUUGCACAGCUAGUAAUACCAGAACUUUUCCUGACUCCCCGUCUAGUGCUCCUUCCGAUAUACCACACGGCUUCUUAAAAUGGACAUGAAAGCUCCUCCAAACCAGGUGAUCUGAGCUCUAGAAAGUUCACAUUUUUGUCUGAAAUUCCCUUUUCUCUACUGGAAAUCAUCUCUCUUGCUGCUAUUUGACCUAAUUUCCUCUGGCUCAGGUCUCAGUGGGGAAUAGGAGUCCUGGGGACAAG
rnacentral:lncRNA from 1 species